CUAAGUUUGAUGGCGACCGGCGCACGGGUGAGUAACACGUAUCCAACCUGCCGAUGACUCGGGGAUAGCUUUUCGAAAGAAAGAUUAAUACCCGAUGGCAUAGUUCUUCCGCAUGGUAGAACUAUUAAAGAAUUUCGGUCAUCGAUGGGGAUGCGUUCCAUUAGGUUGUUGGCGGGGUAACGGCCCACCAAGCCUUCGAUGGAUAGGGGUUCUGAGAGGAAGGUCCCCCACAUUGGAACUGAGACACGGUCCAAACUCCUACGGGAGGCAGCAUG
rnacentral:rRNA from 1 species